CCACAGGCUGGUCGACCCCGGACCAAAGCCGUCUGCACCCGGAGGGGGCCCAGUGCUGACCUCCCCCCUCUCCCCUCAUUGUAACAGUAAAUGUCACACCCGGGGUGGAGAUCACGGCCAGGGCGCCCCGCCUCCGCGUGCUCGCUCUUCACCCUUCUCCCGCCCACCUGUCCUGGGGUGAGCCCACCGUCCGUCCCGCCGCCUCCGGGAUGCGGGGCAGCAGCCCCAACUCAGGCGAGCCCGACGCUCCUGGUGGGCAGCGCGGGUCAGCUCCUGCUGCGGGGCGAGCCUAGGGCCCUGCUGGGCAGCAGGAGCAUGUCAGAACCUGAGGGUGUGCCUGUGCUGUUGUUGCGUAGACGGGGAGCUCAGCCCCUACACGGAGGUGGGCGUGCAGAGGGUCAGUCCCAAAGCGCAGGUGAGCAAAUCCCUGGGGGAUCACAGAGGGAGGGCAGCUAGUUCACGGGGGCAGGAACAGCAAGAAUCUCAGUGUGGGGAGUUCCAGCGUGUGGUCCCUCGUCUCUGACAAGCUUUCUUUGCUUAGGACAGCUCCUCUGGAAAUGUUUUUGGUAGCAUGCAAGUAAUUUUAGCAUUUAUUUUCUAACUAUUUCCGCGGUGUUUCCUGAGUUAGCAUGUAUCUGGCUGGCAUCGAGCUCGUCCCGUUCGGAGCGUUUCCUGCUUCCUCGCAGCUGGAAAGAACCUCGAGGGAAAUCUCUCAAGGAGAGUGUAACGGGCCCUGUGUGGGGGUGUCUCAGUGCAGCAGAUCAUGAAAUGAAGCCAAGCGCGGCUGGCGCUUUGACCCCAAGUUCCAGAGGAGCCCGUGGGGCUUGUGACCCUGAAGGUGAAGGAUGAACAUGUGUGGAAACAGAAUCCAGCAUCGGAAGGAAGGAACCUCAUUCAGGCAGUUUUGCUACCAAGAGGCGCCUGGGCCCCGCGAGGCGCUGCGCCGACUCCGCGAGCUGUGCCGCCAGUGGCUGCGGCCCGAGACGCACGGCAAGGAGCAGAUCCUGGAGCUGCUGGUGCUGGAGCAGUUCCUGACCAUCCUGCCCGCCGAGCUCCAGGCCUGGGUGCAGGGACAGCACCCGCAGAGCGGAGAGGAGGCGGUGACCGUACUGUAAGGUCUGGAGCGGGAGCUGGACUGCAUGAGGCCGGCCAACAGGUGGGGGAAAAUAGGAAGAAUUUUUCCACCCAAAAGGCUACCUCUGGUCCCUUUGGAAAACAUUGAAGUAAAGAAUGGGCAUAUUUCCAACGCAGGGAGACAAAGGUUUGCUCCUUAAACUAAGGUCAAGUUACAAGUAAGCUUAACUGUGCUCUCUUCUUUACCAAAAGUGACGCAGUGCUUUUAAUGCCACAUAGUGGGACGAAUCCAUUAGAGACGGACACGACAGACACCACAAGGCUGACAUGGCCCCGAUGCCGUGGUGGCCGUGUAAGUAAACCCGAGUGUAAGCCCGUUGGUGCCUCCUCACUUUGCUGCUGCUCUGGUCCGCGGCCCUCCUCAGCUGCUGGGGGCCUUCCUGGCUGCUUCCGGCCUCGUGCCGCCUGAGUCAAUCCAGUUGUGCUUCAAUAAAGUCUUAAAAUGUUUAA